rnacentral:rRNA from 1 species
AUUGAACGCUGGCGGCAGGCCUAACACAUGCAAGUCGAGCGGCAGCGGGAGGAAGCUUGCUUCCUCGCCGGCGAGCGGCGGACGGGUGAGUAAUGUCUGGGAAACUGCCCGAUGGAGGGGGAUAACUACUGGAAACGGUAGCUAAUACCGCAUAACGUCUACGGACCAAAGUGGGGGACCUUCGGGCCUCACACCAUCGGAUGUGCCCAGAUGGGAUUAGCUGGUAGGUGGGGUAAUGGCUCACCUAGGCGACGAUCCCUAGCUGGUCUGAGAGGAUGACCAGCCACACUGGAACUGAGACACGGUCCAGACUCCUACGGGAGGCAGCAGUGGGGAAUAUUGCACAAUGGGCGCAAGCCUGAUGCAGCCAUGCCGCGUGUGUGAAGAAGGCCUUAGGGUUGUAAAGCACUUUCAGCGAGGAGGAAGGGUUCAGUGUUAAUAGCACUGAACAUUGACGUUACUCGCAGAAGAAGCACCGGCUAACUCCGUGCCAGCAGCCGCGGUAAUACGGAGGGUGCAAGCGUUAAUCGGAAUUACUGGGCGUAAAGCGCACGCAGGCGGUUUGUUAAGUCAGAUGUGAAAUCCCCGAGCUUAACUUGGGAACUGCAUUUGAAACUGGCAAGCUAGAGUCUUGUAGAGGGGGGUAGAAUUCCAGGUGUAGCGGUGAAAUGCGUAGAGAUCUGGAGGAAUACCGGUGGCGAAGGCGGCCCCCUGGAC